rnacentral:rRNA from 1 species
AUUGAACGCUGGCGACAGGCCUAACACAUGCAAGUCGAGCGAGCGGCGGACGGGUGAGUAAUGUCUGGGAAACUGCCUGAUUGAGGGGGAUAACUACUGGAAACGGUAGCUAAUACCGCAUACCAUCAUAUGUGCCCAGAUGGGAUUAGCUAGUAGGAGGGGUAAUGGCUCACCUAGGCGACGAACCCUAGCUGGUCUGAGAGGAUGACCAGGCACACGGGAACGGAGACACGGUCCAGACACCUACGGGAGGAAGAAGGGGGGAAUAUGGCACAAUGGGCGCAAGCCUGAUGCAGCCACGCCGGGUGUGGGAAGACGGCCAUCGGGUUGUAAAGCACUUUCAGCGGGGAGGCGUUACCCGCAGAAGAAGCACCGGCUAACUCCGUGCCAGAAGCCGCGGUAAGAC